GUGACCUUGAGGACUAUGUAUACGGCCCAUGGUCCAGUUUUAUUCUCACUAUUCCCCCGCUCUGCUUCCUAGUCACAAUGACCUAAGGAACUUUGCUCUGCCACACCUUUCUACUGUAAUAUUUCUGCCUUGGAGCCAGCUGAACAUGGACUGGAUCCUCUGAAACUGUGCAGUGGAAUCCCCUCCAAGUUAGAGAUGCCAGGAAUGUGCAACAUCUGGUGAGGAAACCCUAAAGCAGCAACAGUCUGCGAAGCUGCCGCUUCUUCUCUGACCUACAGAAAUGGCCGCGGGUAGAUACAAUAUAAGUGUCUAUGGAUUCUUCACAGAUGGGAGAUGAGAGCAUUGCAGCCAUUCUAUGGUGCAGGAAGAGACCUGAGUGUCACUUUCCCUGAAAUGCCCACUACCCUAAAAGGAAGUGCAUGUGGUUCAUUGAGCUGGAAGUUGAACUCAGAUGUUCACACUCCAAAACCUGAAUUGUUUGCAUUCUUCUGUGCAGCCUCAUUUUAUCACUCAUUCCUCGACUGUCAGUCUUUAAGGACAGUGAAAAGGUCUGGAUGUAUCUCUGUAUCUCCAUGAUGCACAGUACUGUGCAGAUACUGUA